rnacentral:rRNA from 1 species
CCGCGUGAGGGAUGACGGCCUUUGGGUUGUAAACCUCUUUUUUCAGGGAGGAAGUUCUGACGGUACUUGAAGAAUAAGCAUCGGCUAACUCCGUGCCAGCAGCCCGCGGUAAGACGGGGGAUGCAAGUGUUAUCCGGAAUUAUUGGGCGUAAAGCGUCUGUAGGUUGCCUAGCAAGUCUAUUGUUAAAGGUUAAAGCUUAACUUUAGAACCGCAGUAGAAACUGCUAAGCUUGAGUACAGUCGAAGUAGAGGGAAUUUCCAGUGAAGCGGUGAAAUGCAUAGAUAUUGGAAGGAACACCAAUGGCGAAAGCACUCUACUAGGCUUUUACUGACACUCAGAGACGAAAGCUAGGGUAGCAAAAGG